AUUGAACGCUGGCGGCAGGCCUAACACAUGCAAGUCGAACGGUAACAGAAAGCAGCUUGCUGCUUUGCUGACGAGUGGCGGACGGGUGAGUAAUGUCUGGGAAACUGCCUGAUGGAGGGGGAUAACUACUGGAAACGGUAGCUAAUACCGCAUAACGUCGCAAGACCAAAGAGGGGGACCUUCGGGCCUCUUGCCAUCGGAUGUGCCCAGAUGGGAUUAGCUAGUAGGUGGGGUAACGGCUCACCUAGGCGACGAUCCCUAGCUGGUCUGAGAGGAUGACCAGCCACACUGGAACUGAGACACGGUCCAGACUCCUACGGGAGGCAGCAGUGGGGAAUAUUGCACAAUGGGCGCAAGCCUGAUGCAGCCGUGCCGCGUGUAUGAAGAAGGCCUUCGGGUUGUAAAGUACUUUCAGCGGGGAGGAAGGGAGUAAAGUUAAUACCUUUGCUCAUUGACGUUACCCGCAGAAGAAGCACCGGCUAACUCCGUG
rnacentral:rRNA from 1 species